GGUAAAGUAUCCAAGCUACCUUUGCCACAGUUCCUACGGUGUCUCUGAAAGGACAUACACCGAUCUGUCGGGCACUAAUUCCAAAAGUCGCUCUUUUCCAUUUUGCCCACCUUGGUGCAGCUGUUCCAAACGUAGCCUAUAUCUCAACCCAUUCAAGGAAUCUUGCGCAAAAACUCUUGCUGCGACGAAUUAGUCUACUUUUGUCACUGGCAGCGGCAGGUGUAAGAGUCGUCUCCCUAGCAACUAUAACUCAAAAGACACAGCACAGGCACAGGACAAUCUUUCGGCGCCCAUGCAGUUGCCGUCAACAUCACACAAUCAUACUACUGUAUGGAGUAUGGGUAAGGUUUGAGAUAACGCAAAUACACAACGAUGGGCAUACAUACCAUGCGUAGAUUAAGUUAACAUUCGUGUGCAUAUAUAUUACAGAACCGACCAAAAGUGUGUAUUUGGCGCAAGGAAGAUUCAAGCAUACUGGCGGUGUUACCAAGACAGGCGACUAUUUCAACUACUGUUGGAGACUGUGCGUGCUGCUGAGAACUGCCUGACACCUGCUGUUCUCCGCCUACUUAGCCCGAUAGAAGCGGAUCUGUUAAAAGAUCCGAGUAUGCAUUGCGAGGUCAGAUUCAGAUUUUCAGGUUCCAAGUUCCCUCCAGUGAUAGU